rnacentral:rRNA from 1 species
CGCAAGACCAAAGAGGGGGACCUUCGGGCCUCUUGCCAUCAGAUGUGCCCAGAUGGGAUUAGCUAGUAGGUGGGGUAACGGCUCACCUAGGCGACGAUCCCUAGCUGGUCUGAGAGGAUGACCAGCCACACUGGAACUGAGACACGGUCCAGACUCCUACGGGAGGCAGCAGUGGGGAAUAUUGCACAAUGGGCGCAAGCCUGAUGCAGCCAUGCCGCGUGUAUGAAGAAGGCCUUCGGGUUGUAAAGUACUUUCAGCGGGGAGGAAGGCGUUGAGGUUAAUAACCUCAGCGAUUGACGUUACCCGCAGAAGAAGCACCGGCUAACUCCGUGCCAGCAGCCGCGGUAAUACGGAGGGUGCAAGCGUUAAUCGGAAUUACUGGGCGUAAAGCGCACGCAGGCGGUCUGUCAAGUCGGAUGUGAAAUCCCCGGGCUCAACCUGGGAACUGCAUUCGAAACUGGCAGGCUAGAGUCUUGUAGAGGGGGGUAGAAUUCCAGGUGUAGCGGUGAAAUGCGUAGAGAUCUGGAGGAAUNACCGGUGGCGAAGGCGGCCCCCUGGACAAAGACUGACGCUCAGGUGCGAAAGCGUGGGGAGCAAACAGGAUUAGAUACCCUGGUAGUCCACGCCGUAAACGAUGUCGACUUGGAGGUUGUGCCCUUGAGGCGUGGCUUCCGGAGCUAACGCGUUAAGUCGACCGCCUGGGGANGUNACNGGCCGCAAGGUUAAAACUCAAAUGAAUUGACGGGGGCCCGCACAAGCGGUGGAGCAUGUGGUUUAAUUCGAUGCAACGCGAAGAACCUUACCUACUCUUGACAUCCAGAGAACUUUCCAGAGAUGGAUUGGUGCCUUCGGGAACUCUGAGACAGGUGCUGCAUGGCUGUCGUCAGCUCGUGUUGUGAAAUGUUGGGUUAAGUCCCGCAACGAGCGCAACCCUUAUCCUUUGUUGCCAGCGGUCCGGCCGGGAACUCAAAGGAGACUGCCAGUGAUAAACUGGAGGAAGGGGGGGGAUGACGUCAAGUCAUCAUGGCCCUUACGAGUAGGGCUACACACGUGCUACAAUGGCGCAUACAAAGAG